AGUGAACGCUGGCGGUAGGCCUAACACAUGCAAGUCGAACGGCAGCACAGUAAGAGCUUGCUCUUACGGGUGGCGAGUGGCGGACGGGUGAGGAAUACAUCGGAAUCUACUUUUUCGUGGGGGAGAACGUAGGGAAACUUACGCUAAUACCGCAUACGACCUACGGGUGAAAGCAGGGGAUCUUCGGAACUUGCGCGAUUGAAUGAGCCGAUGUCGGAUUAGCUAGUUGGCGGGGUAAAGGCCCACCAAGGCGACGAUCCGUAGCUGGUCUGAGAGGAUGAUCAGCCACACUGGAACUGAGACACGGUCCAGACUCCUACGGGAGGCAGCAGUGGGGAAUAUUGGACAAUGGGCGCAAGCCUGAUCCAGCCAUACCGCGUGGGUGAAGAAGGCCUUCGGGUUGUAAAGCCCUUUUGUUGGGAAAGAAAAGCAGCAGGUUAAUACCCCGCUGUUCUGACGGUACCCAAAGAAUAAGCACCGGCUAACUUCGUG
rnacentral:rRNA from 1 species